rnacentral:rRNA from 1 species
GUAAGGGAUAUUGCGACAAUGGGCGAAAGCCUGACGCAGCAACGCCGCGUGGAGGAUGACGGCCUUCGGGUUGUAAACUCCUUUUGCCGGGGACGAGGAAGGACGGUACCCGGAGAAGAAGUCACGGCUAACUACGUGCCAGCAGCCGCGGUAAAACGUAGGUGGCGAGCGUUAUCCGGAUUUACUGGGUGUAAAGCGCGUGCAGGCGGCUUAUCAAGUGGGAUGUGAAAGCGCCCGGCUCAACCGGGCGAGGACGUUGCAGACUGAUAAGCUGGAGGCGGAAAGAGGCGUGUGGAAUUCCGGGUGUAGUGGUGAAAUGCGUAGAGAUCCGGAGGAACACCAGUGGCGAAGGCGACACGCUGGUUCCGUACUGACGCUCAGACGCGAAAGCAUGGGGAGCGAACGGGAUUAGAUACCCCUGUAGUCC